GCUGUAGCUCCAGAGCCAGGAGGAAACUUCAGAGUAACAACCAUGGCAUUCAUUUCAUUUCAGGUGCUGCUGGUGUGCUGGUGGGACACCCCUUUGACACUGUUAAGAUGACAGAUAAGCCUCAUCACGGGAGAGUUACCUAGUCCGUCUGCAAGUUCAAAAUGCAGAGAAACCUCUCUACCGCGGGACUUUCCAUUGCUUUCAGUCCAUCAUAAAGCAAGAAUCUGUAAGUACAAAAUUAAUGCUUUGUGUAUUUUUUUAAAAGUCUUUUUGUGUAUUUUGGCUCAGGAGGGUGGGAAAGCUGUUAAAAACAAAGCUGGCAAAUGUUGAAGAU
rnacentral:lncRNA from 1 species